rnacentral:lncRNA from 1 species
GUAUAAUUUAGAAUACCAGCAUAUGAUGUUCAAGAUGGUAUCAAAAAUUCUUGAAAACUAAUCUAUUAUUGCUGUAAAUAAACAACCCCAUAGUAAUUUGGCAGUUAAUCAAUUAGAGACUAUAGCAGAAUACAAAGAUUUUGUCAAAUACUUAGAGGAUGAUUCAGUUCGCCUUGAUUUGGUUAAGCAACUGAGUUUUUUAGGCGCAGAAGAUUAUAAACAGCUGACAAGAUUGGUUAUGAAUAGAUUAUUUACAAAUACCCUAUUGGAACAGUUUAAUUUAAAAGGUUCUGUUGGAAAAAUUGGUUUUUUAUCAACGAAGCUAUAUUAUGUAAUAGAAGAAGUUGUAACAAGAAGGUUUGGAAAAGUUUCAAAUUCUGAUAUAAGACAGCAAAUCGGAAGAUAUUGUAAAAAUGCUCCAUCGCAGAAAAAAAGACACUAAAAUUUA